rnacentral:tRNA from 1 species
UCCUUGGUGGCACAAAGGGUUAAGCGGUUGGCUACCAACCAAAAGGUUGGUGGUUCGAAUCCAUCUAGAGGUG